ensembl:lncRNA
CCAAAGUGUUUGAGAAAGUGAACACAAGUAGGACAUUUCUGAUACGACUAGACUUUUUCUCAUAAAACUGCAACUUGUGACUGAUUUGAUGUUUUUCAGAUGUGCUGAAAGACAUUUAAAGCACAGCCAAAAUUAUUAAUCAGUUUCAUGGUUUCACUGUGGCCUGUAAUCUAAACUGGGAGCAUCAGGUUGCAUCUUUCUACCUAUUGGCAUGUGUGAUACUUUAUCUCUAGACUGUUCAUGAAUCAUUCAGUAUGGCAGGGAAAGAGCUUCCUUUAUGCCUUUGAGCUGCCUCUGAGCCCUGGGCAGCAAACUAACAUGAUGGGCUCGUUCUGGGUAUGCCUCUGCUGGCCUACCCUACUUUGCUGGUUCUUUGCCCCAAGACUGAGCGCUGCUGUUGGAUCAAACAUAACACUAAGACUUCCUGAGAGAUCUUCCUGCAAACCAGGUUUUUACUGCCCAGAGGGAGGUAGGGGUCCAGUUCCAUGUCCUAGAGGAACAUUUGGACCAAGUUUUUGGGCCCAGUCUGUAAAUGACUGCAUCAGCUGCCCACCACAUCACUAUGGACCUAGAGAAGGCUUGAGCAAUUGCCUGCCCUGUGGGCCCUGGUCACAGCAGCCUCUGCUUGGACAGGACAGCUGUACAUGUCUGCGAGAGGGUCAAGUCUUCCAGGCCAGUGAUGGACAGUGUCCAUGUACUUUGGGAUACACACAGAAAGGAGAAGCCUGUGUGUUGAAGGUCUAUGAGAUCUGCAAGGAUGGAAGAGCACGAAACCAGCAUGGAGAAUGUCUGGACCACAAGCAAUGGAAGCAGCAUUGCUCCCAGCAGGUGUGUCUAUCUCCUGAGCUGUAUGAGGGCUAUGAUGGUUCCCUGGGCCUGUGUGCUUGCAGAGGGCUGUCCAGGCCUGAGCCAGACAGGGUUGAGUGUGUUGGCUGGUGCCGGAGCAACCUGAGUCCAAUUCUGCAGCUGGUUUGCACUGGAAGCCUUUACCUGCUCUACACUGAGUCUAAUCAACAGGUGAGCAUGUCUAGAAGCAUGCUGGAGACCGUCCUCAAACACUGGGACUCCCGUGGGAGCUUAGAAUGCAAUGUGCAGCUCAACUUCUCCAGGCCUGUGUACACAGUUAAAACAGAGGAGGCGGGCUUCUUUGGUCUGCUUAAUGCCGUCCCUGUGGAGGUCAGGAGGUUGAUUCUGGCCCACAGCCAGCAAACUAACAACUACUUUGAGCCCCUAGACAAAGACAGAGGAAACAUCAAAGACAAAGAGGAAGACUGGGACUCUCAUUGGUCCGGUAUAUCAUCAGCGUUUGGUACAUCCGACAUGAGGCCUAGAGGAGUCUUGAACCCAACAGCAUGUCUACAUCCGGGAGACAUUCUUCUUUUUACAGUGACCCAACAGCACUAUCCUCAGUAUGAUGUAGACAGCUUGUAUAACACUAAUGAUGCAUUUGACUGGGGACCCUUCAGAUUACUGGCACAGGACCAAGAACUGGCACGAUCUACCCACUCCCUUUUUUCCAUAAGUCUCCAUGAGCCUGGGGUGUACGCCUUCAAACUCAGCAGCCACAAUUAUAGGCACAUGUAUGUGAGGGUAGUGCCUGCAGGUGGAGAGUGCUAUGACACUGGACCCUUCUUCCCUUCUGACCCACAUCAUUUGACUCGCAUGGGCAUCGCACAGAGACGCCACCUGCUGCUCCGCCCCAACUGGCUGAUGAUCGGUGGGCUUUUAGUAGGAGCUGUGGUAAUCCUGUGCUUGUGUGUCAUUAUAUUGAUCUUGUUCAGGAAUUACGGCUGGCCUGAGAAACUGCCAGCUCAGGUCAGGUACCGUGAUCUGCAGCUAAGGUACAACAUGGACGACUAUUCAUCAAAGGGCUCCAGGGUGGUGGCUGUGAAAAAAACACAUCGAAACCUGCAGGUGGGGUUGACUGAGGAUUCAGUGCAGAGAGCAGUGGCUCUGGUGUCAAAUGAAUUCUGGGACUAUGAAGAGCAAGUGGAUCUCGAAGCAUUCAGCUCCAGCACCUUCUAUGACAUCCUACUCAAGCACAGCGUGUCUGUCACAAUACGUCUCGGGCAGCUCAGAGGAGAGGUGAAGCAUCUCUAUCAGGGGGUGCUGGGGAAGUUGAGAGAGCUCCACCCUGGCUGGAGGAUGUUUGGAGGGAAAACCGAAGGUCUGGAGAGGCAGGUGGAGCAGGAGAUGGUGCGACGAAGAGCACUGGGCAAUCAGCUGACACAGCUGCUGGACAGCCAGCUGCAGAUCCUGCGGGUGGAGAUGAGAGCACAGCAGGCCAUGCAGAAGACCUUCAGAGCACGACUGAGAGAGAGCGCGAGGCUUCUGAGACUGCUGGCUGAGGGUCAGACCUCGCUCUGGGAUAAACACAUCAAGCAACAUGUUCUGGAGCGGGUAGCUGUGCUGGCUGAUGAGAUGACUGAGAAGGUAUCAGUGGAGAGCCAGAGGCUGGGGGCCUGGGUUGUGCUUAAAGAGGGCACUGGAGCACAGCUAUUAUGCCCUGCUACUGGAUCAGUCCUCAGUAGGGAAGACAUCAUCGCUCCUGAUGGAUCUCUUAGAGCUUGUGAUGCCGUUCAUGUAAACCCCCUCACAGGCCUCAUUCAGCCCAACUCUAACGCCCAUAUGUUACUGGCCAGUGGACACAGCAUGCCAGUUCCCCCGGACUUCUUCCUACACUCCCAGACUGGCAAACUACUGCCUAUGGCUGGAAACGUGGGCUUUGAUCCUGUUUCCUCCACCCUUGUCUUUACAGCCGAUGCUUGUGUGGGGGAGGUGGGAAAAUGGGAACUACCCCUGCUGCCUUUCAUUCCGUACCCUCCGUCCCGCCACGCCGAACUUCAUGCUGCUUCCAAACUACGGGGGCUUCGUUCAGGCCAAAGGCUGAUGCUUGGAGGACCCAUGUGUGACUGUGACACUGGUGUUUUGGUGCCUAUUCAGGCAGUCACCAUCCAUCCACAAACAGGAUUGGUUUAUCCUUUGGGAGGCGUGCACACGUGUCCCAUCUCACGCCUGUGGCAGCCUAUUCAAAUAGGCUCUCCCAUGCUGGACCCACGUACAGGUGACCUAGUGCUCAUCACGGGCAUCACUCUUGAUCCCCAUACAGGGGCUGUACUUCCAGUUGGGGGGCUUCUCCUAGGCGAGUCCUUCAUCGAGCCCUUGAGCGGACGGAUGGUGCGGGUUGGUGGAGGCAGCGUGCGAGGAGGAAAGGUGGUGCCUCAUGCUGGGGGUUUCCAGGCUCUGCUGGACAGCCAGGCUCUGGGCGCUUGCUUGCGAAUGGCAGAGCUCCUGCAAGGAUUCAGUGAGGAGUGGAGCUCAGCAGCUGCAGAUCCACAAGGUGACCUGGACAGACUCUCGGCAGCAACAUCUGAGCUGGAGCAGGCCUGGAAAAGCAGCCAACACUGUAUGUUGCAGCUGCUGAGUCGCCUGGAAGCCGUACAGGGACAGGCCAGGGGUGUGGUGGAGAAUGGCGGUAGUGUGGGGGAAAUUAAGCUUCCUGGCAUUGAGCUCUCCUUGCCAGCUCUCCCCGGGUUGGAGUAUCCUGACCCUGGAGGCUCGGGUCUGCAUGUCCCAGUUCUGGGAGCUCAGUUGGACUGGAUGUCAGGAUCUAUGGUGCCCCUGGCAGGAACCAUGGAGGAUGCAGAUGGUAAAGGGCUAGUUCCCAUACAUUUUGGAGCGCAGACAGUGGACCCAGUGACAGGGGUGCUGGCUCCGGUUGUGGGGGCCAGUCUGGAUGUUUGGAAACGGACUGUGGUUCCUGUAACUGUGUCCCAGAUUCUGACGUUAGGAGAAAACCCAGACAGUGUCACGGUGGAAGCCCUCCAGAAAGAGAGCAGUGUACAGGGCAAUUACUGGCGUGAGCAGACACUGAAGGAAGAGGAGAUGGUGGGAGAUUUUGACAGAGCCAUUAAACACUAUCUGUCCACAUCCAUACACGAGUCUGACUGUAUAGACUGGAUGGACACAGACAGGCACCUCAGGGAGACCGCCGCUGAGAUUCAGGAAAGUGCUCAGUGUGAGGCCCAGAGAAAAGCUCUCCAGAACUCAGAGUUAUCGCUGCUCCUACAAGCCCAUGUGUUACACACCUUCACAGGAGGAGAUGAAGAGGAGUGGGAGCAGCAGUGUUACUGGCACACUGAGCUUAAGGCCGUGCUGAACCGAGUGAGUGUGUCCAUGGAGAGACUGCAGAGGGACCGGGAUCAGCUGUCGGCACAGGAAACGCAGCAUCUGGAUGGAAAACUGAGGGAGCAGGAUCUGUGGGAGCAUUUAAUGCAGAGACAAGCAGAGCUGGAUGCUGCACUUUCAACUCUUCACUGUGCUCGUCAGGUCUGCCAGCUGCGUGCUGACAUUGCACAGUCUUUGGUUUGUGGCACAUUCUGGUAUAAGGAUUUUGGCAUGCUGCAGCCUAAGGGUGUGAGGAACCCUCUGAAAGUAAUAGCCAUGACUCAGCAGAAAAUCCUUCCUCGGCUUGAACGACUUAUUCAGCUGCUGGAGGAAACCAAAGCACUUGGCCAGUCGACCAGCACACAGCGGCAGCAGAGCUCUGGAAAGCAGGCGUUCGACCGAGACAGCGCUUCCAGAGCGUGGACCGAAUCUGUGUCUGUUGUGAAAGGUGUCUCAACUCAGUCCUUUAAAGAUCAAAUGAAGGCUCCGUCUGUGAGUGAACAGAAUGCCACGGUGCCCUCUCUUCCUCUGUCAAACCCAUCUUACACUCAGAAAAGCCAGGAAAAAACACAGCUGAACCACAGCCAGGAUGUCCAAUUUCUCCAGGAACCUGGUCUGUCCGCACACAUCAGUAUCCCACAGCUAGCAGAGGAAGACUGGUCCAGACUAGUAGCACUAUCUCCUCUAUUCCAGCUGAUGAAGGAAGUGGAGCAACAGCUCAGGGAUAGUGCCAGAGAUAGAGGCCUUCUCAAGAUCCAGCCUUCAGGUGCAGGCCAGUCAUUCAUGGAUUUCAUGGAUGCCCAGUGGGAGUGUGAGGGAGAGCUGAUUCAAGUGAGCUCUGAAACCCUCAACCCACGACAGCUUCUGCUCUACCAGCAUGGACAGUUUCUCCUCCAGCACCUUCACUUACAUAAAAUGAUACCAGCAGUAACCCUUCAACUGGCUUCUACUCUUCCUUUCAACGACUACCAUAACAAUGCUUUCCGCAACUCUUUCUAUUAUCAGGAGGGACAGAAGACUCUGUUUGUUCGCAGUCAGAGAUUGCAAUCGGUGGGUGGCCUCUCUCUGCUGCUAAUGCACUGUGCUGCACACAUUUCCAUCGGCCAGAUGAGGACUGACACCAUUCCUGCCUUUCAAAGAGCCUUCUUCAAGGUUUUACAGGUGGGCUUAAGUGAGCUGUUCCAUGCCAGGCUGGGACAAACUGAUAGUCCAGAUGAUGAGAGGACGAAAGAUUUGGCGUCUGACGCAGCUCUCAAUGGUCUUCUGCUGGAAAGAGUCCAGAAGCCAAGUCCUGGGAUUUUUUCAGAGCAUGAGGUUUUGGGACGUCUGCGCAAAUACAGAGAGGCUUCAGUGUUCCGCCAGGUCGAGAGUCUCCUAAAAGAGUCUCCAAAGAGCCUGGAGAUCAACCACCUCAACACUGACCCGUCACUCAACGACGACCCAGAAAGCCAAGCCGCUGCUCCUCCAUGAACUGACAUUUUAACUUUGAACAGUGCUGCCUCUCUGACAGUGAUGAAUCCAGCUUUCAAAGGCAUGUUAUGUGCUGUGAGGCAGCUGAUGGCCUUAUGGUCUUGGACGGUAGAGCAUCUAUUUUUGCUUCUGGUGGUGACCCAGCACAGCUACUUUCUUGUACAGAAGUUGAAAAAAUGGCACUAAGAAAAAAACAUUAAAAUGGGCAAUAUUUCCAUGCACUGCAUAGGCUCAGCAAACAAACCUCUGUUGAAUCCAGUUUUAAUGUAGUUUUCGAAAAUAAAGGCAUGUUACAGAAUUUGACCGUUUGAUUGGACGGGUGCAGUUUCUUAAGAAAAGAAACUAAACAAUACAGGGGGUAGUGAAAAUAUAAUGAAUGAAAUGAAUAUAAUUGAAUGAAAAUAUAAUCUUGAAAUUUUAAUAAAUAAAUUUAGACAAUGUACAAAUACGGUGUCAUACAAAAUGAAAAGUCACAUAAAAUGAACAGUAGAAAUAAAGAGAAUUAAAAAUGAACAGAAUUAACUAAAUUAAAUUGAUCAAUUAACUUAUUGAAUAUAAAUGUAUGAUUAUAAAUUUGCUCAAAUAGUAAAAUAAAAAAAUCCAAUAUAGUGUUUCCACACCUUUCCAAAAGAAGAGAGAAAGAUGUCAAAUUGACUGUAUUUACUGUAUCUUUACAUUUUUUAAACAUGAGCAUAUAUACA